rnacentral:rRNA from 1 species
GGGUCAGUAGGCUGGUCGUGCCACCGGUACGUACUGGUCUCACUGAUUCCUCCCUCCUGAAGAACCGUAAUGCCAUUAAUUUGGUGUUGCGGGGAAACAGGACUGUUACUUUGAAAAAAUUAGAGUGUUUAAAGCAAGCUAACGCUUGAAUACAUUAGCAUGGAAUAAUGAAAUAGGACGAUCGAUCCUAUUUUGCUGGUUUCUGGGAUUGACGUA